rnacentral:misc_RNA from 1 species
UUGGAUCCCUGCUUGGGCAGCGACGUCCUCCCGUGCAUUCCUCUUCAGUCGUUGGCACAAGAGCGAGUUUAGCCUUGGCCGUGCUCGUUGGUUUCCUGUGUUGCAUACCUUCACCGAUGGAAUUCGUUAGCCGAUUUGUCCCUCGUUCGCCUUACGCUGCCCGUUUGCACGGCACGGCUACGGGUGAACCCCAAAGCGAAGCUCGUGUUCCGUGUCACGAUGCGCUACCGGCGUUGUCGUCACGGCCCACUAGUUUUUGUUCGAUCUCCGGGAUACCGAAAACGUUGGGGGCACGAGGUCACCGACCUCUAUUUGCCCAUAAAUUGGCGUCACACGCCACAUUCGAACGACGUUGGCGUCGCACUGACGAUGUGCGUCUUGCGACCCGAUGUCCGUGAGGAAUGCUACCUGGUUGAUCCUGCA